rnacentral:rRNA from 1 species
GUGAGGAAUAUUGCGCAAUGGAGGCAACUCUGACGCAGCCAUGCCGCGUGCAGGAAGAAGGCGCUACGCGUUGUAAACUGCUUUUAACCGGGAAGAAACCCCAGGACGUGUCCUGGGUUGACGGUACCGGAGGAAUAAGCACCGGCUAACUUCGUGCCAGCAGCCGCGGUAAUACGAAGGGUGCAAGCGUUAUCCGGAUUCAUUGGGUUUAAAGGGUGCGUAGGCGGAGCGUUAAGUCAGUGGUGAAAUCCUGCAGCUUAACUGUAGACUUGCCAUUGAUACUGGCGCUCUUGAGUGCGCUUGAAGUGGGCGGAAUGUGCCGUGUAGCGGUGAAAUGCUUAGAUAUGGCACAGAACACCAAUUGCGAAGGCAGCUCACUAAGGCGAUAUUGACGCUGAGGCACGAAAGCGUGGGGAUCGAACAGGAUUAGAAACCCUUGUAGUCC